UGCAAGUCGAACGCACUCUCGUUUAGAUUGAAGGAGCUUGCUCCUGAUUGAUAAACAUUUGAGUGAGUGGCGGACGGGUGAGUAACACGUGGGUAACCUGCCCUAAAGUGGGGGAUAACAUUUGGAAACAGAUGCUAAUACCGCAUAAAACCUAACACCGCAUGGUGUAGGGUUGAAAGAUGGUUUCGGCUAUCACUUUAGGAUGGACCCGCGGUGCAUUAGUUAGUUGGUGAGGUAAAGGCUCACCAAGACCGUGAUGCAUAGCCGACCUGAGAGGGUAAUCGGCCACACUGGGACUGAGACACGGCCCAGACUCCUACGGGAGGCAGCAGUAGGGAAUCUUCCACAAUGGACGAAAGUCUGAUGGAGCAACGCCGCGUGAGUGAAGAAGGUUUUCGGAUCGUAAAACUCUGUUGUUGGAGAAGAAUGUAUCUGAUAGUAACUGAUCAGGUAGUGACGGUAUCCAACCAGAAAGCCACGGCUAACUACGUGCCAGCAGCCGCGGUAAUACGUAGGUGGCAAGCGUUGUCCGGAUUUAUUGGGCGUAAAGCGAGCGCAGGCGGUUUCUUAAGUCUGAUGUGAAAGCCUUCGGCUCAACCGAAGAAGUGCAUCGGAAACUGGGAAACUUGAGUGCAGAAGAGGACAGUGGAACUCCAUGUGUAGCGGU
rnacentral:rRNA from 2 species